GGGUCAUUGGCUCAGCGGUGGAGCCUUCGCCUUGUAAGCGAAAAUACCCGGGUUCGGGUCCCGGCAGAUCCC
rnacentral:tRNA from 1 species